rnacentral:misc_RNA from 1 species
UAAUCUAACGAGCUAUGGGCUUGGAGGACAAUCAAGAUCGCAAUCUCUCGGUGGCCAGCUUAGCCCUGAAACUCAAGAUCAAGAUGUGGUAGAAUCGAGAAUAAAUAUUUUCUUUAUUAAUUUACUAAAACUUAAUCUUACUCGCUUUGUCAAUAAUUCGACAAUUUUUCAAUAUUAGCAAAGUCACACUAAAAUAGUCUAUAUCAGAUUUUUGGGCGAAAGUUUUGCCGAAGUACCUAAAACGUAAUCAUAAACAUCAUCAUUUCAGCCUAUCGCAGUCCAUUGCUGGACAUAGGCCUCCACAAGUUCGCAUCAAAAAAGACGUGAACUCAUGUGUGUUGCCCAUAGUCACCACGCUAAAAUAGCUGCGUUUAUUUCAAAUUAGUUCUGUUGGAUCGAUGUCUUCAGAGUCUGAUGGAGAGAGACUUGUGGUAGACGCCGUGCACGUAUUUGGUUCGUGCUCCUUCUUGUAGGCACACAGCUUGAAAAAUUUAGUUCGUGUUCUUAGAAAUGUAUCAUAAGAGUGAACAGCUCCAGAGUCUUUUUAGAAAAUAUUAAUAUGUAUCAUAAUACUGUAUAAAAAAGUAAAUAACAAAUAGUUGGAAAGUGUACAACUUUUUAGCCAGUUAAUUUUAUUAGGCAAAAGUGAUAUCUAAGAAAUCCUUACUAUAUAUGUAUAAUAUCUAUACGAGUAUAAGAGCAUAGUGUCACAAUAAAUUAAUAUUCUAUA